rnacentral:rRNA from 1 species
AUUGAACGCUGGCGGCAGGCCUAACACAUGCAAGUCGAGCGAGAGGCGGACGGGGGAGUAAUGUAUGGGGACUGCCCGUUAGAGGGGGAUAACUACUGGAAACGGUAGCGAAUACCGCAUACUAUCGGAUAACCCAUAUGGGAUUAGCUAGAAGGUGAGGUAAUGGCUUACCUAGGCGACGAUCCCUAGCUGGUCUGAGAGGAUGAUCAGCCACACUGGGACUGAGACACGGCCCAGACUCCUACGGAGGCAGCAGUGGGGAAUAUUGCACAAUGGGCGCAAGCCUGAUGCAGCCAUGCCGCGUGUGUGAAGAAGGCCCUAGGGUUGUAAAGUACUUUCAGUCGGGAGGCGUUACCGACAGAAGAAGCACCGGCUAACUCCGUGCCAGCAGCCGCGGUAAUUC